GAAAAUGUAUUUAUUUUCCAGGACUGUCUCCAUGAGAAGACCUUGACGAAGCAGCUGCGGCGUGACACGCACACACAACCAGACAAUCACACGCGCAUGCAUACACACCCUUAUAUAAGCGCCUUCAUCGUUCCGGAUUUCUUCUUUCCCUGCGACGUGAACUGAUCUGCGGAGCGCUUGAUCACUGAGCAGCUGGUCGGACGGGCCGCAUCGCCCCCCCCCCCCCUUCCCAUGCAUCCGCCCCCUCAUUACAUGUUAUGUCUUGUGACUUGUUGUAACUGUCAUACGCCCUUUUACGUGCUGGGGUACUUUUUUUCUCCGAGACACUAAUUAUCCUUAGAAGAAGAUAGUUCGAGCAUGUUUUUUUUCCCCUCCUCCUCCC